rnacentral:rRNA from 1 species
ACGAACGCUGGCGGCAUGCCUCACCCCUGCCAGUCGAACGAGACCUUCGGGUCUAGUGGCGCACGGGUGCGUAACGCGUGGGAACCUGCCUUUAGGUUCGGAAUAACUCAGAGAAAUUUGAGCUAAUACCGGAUGAUGUCUUCGGACCAAAGAUUUAUCGCCUUUAGAUGGGCCCGCGUUGGAUUAGCUAGUUGGUGGGGUAAAGGCCUACCAAGGCGACGAUCCAUAGCUGGUCUGAGAGGAUGAUCAGCCACACUGGGACUGAGACACGGCCCAGACUCCUACGGGAGGCAGCAGUGGGGAAUAUUGGACAAUGGGCGAAAGCCUGAUCCAGCAAUGCCGCGUGAGUGAUGAAGGCCUUAGGGUUGUAAAGCUCUUUUACCCGAGAUGAUAAUGACAGUAUCGGGAGAAUAAGCUCCGGCUAACUCCGUG